rnacentral:lncRNA from 1 species
UUGUGAAAAGGGUGUAAUUGUUAAAAAUAGGUACAAACAUCAGAUAUAAACAAAAACCUAAACAAACACUUCUAUGUACAUAACGUCAUAAAAAUAGUUGUUUUAUUUACCUCGCGCUGCCGUCCUUGUACUGCCGUGAACAGGAAAUUCUGGGAAUGGAGGACGGAGAGUUGAAUCGAUUCGUCUUCAACAAACCGAUCAUUGUGACAUCAAAACAUCGCGAGAACAACAGACAGCUCCGUGUGCAUUUGAAUCCAUCUCGCGAUAUUGUAUCACUUCAGGUACGCGCCUACUGAUUCGUUGAUUCAAACGAGUUGUGAAUCAAGAAGCCUCUAAAGAUCCGAAUCAAACUGCAGCAGCACGCCACGAGGUUUUGCUCAGACUUUUGGGACGUUUGGAAUUGCUCCGUCUUGUCACCAUGUAACACAUAGCAGCAAGACCCAUGGGAUUUCAUCAGCCACUCACCAUCAGAGUCCUCAGUGGAAGCUGAGAAGAGGAAGCCAAGCAAGAGAUGCCAGAAAAAAGGGGGAAGGAAAUGUGUUAUUUUGCUGUUUGAGUAUAGGCAGGCGCAGUGGGUAGCACAAUCGCCUCACAGCAAGAAGGUCGCAGGUUCGAGCCUCGGCUGGGUCAGUUGGCAUUUCUGUGUGGAGUUUGCAUGUUCUCCCCAUGUUAGCGUGGGUUUCCUCCGGGUGCUCCCACAAGUCCAAAAAUAUGUGGUGACAU